ACUUAAGUAGUUUAAAAUUAAAAUAAUGAUUUGUGGUAUCAUAGAUAUAAAUGUUAUCUUAGGUU
rnacentral:tRNA from 1 species